AUUACAGUGUACUGAUACUAGCUCGAUGCAGUACCGGUACCCGACUCCAGUAUCGGUACACGCCGACUCUGUACCCUUAUUCCGUACCCCUCAGCUGAAACCUGAGAGCACCCCUCUCGGUCACGCGUCGGGGUACCGGUACCCCAUUGUGGUACCAGUACUCAGCAUCCCAAAAUCUGCAGUUUGCAGAUUUUGGUGCUAAGUACUCCUUCUCGCUUCUCAA
rnacentral:lncRNA from 1 species